rnacentral:rRNA from 1 species
GACGAACGCUGGCGGCGUGCCUAAUACAUGCAAGUAGAACGCACAGUUUAUACCGUAGCUUGCUACACCAUAAACUGUGAGUUGCGAACGGGUGAGUAACGCGUAGGUAACCUGCCUGGUAGCGGGGGAUAACUAUUGGAAACGAUAGCUAAUACCGCAUAAUAUUGAUUAUUGCAUGAUAAUUGAUUGAAAGAUGCUAUUGCAUCACUACCAGAUGGACCUGCGUUGUAUUAGCUAGUAGGGGAGGUAACGGCUCACCUAGGCGACGAUACAUAGCCGACCUGAGAGGGUGAUCGGCCACACUGGGACUGAGACACGGCCCAGACUCCUACGGGAGGCAGCAGUAGGGAAUCUUCGGCAAUAGACGAAAGUCUGACCGAGCAACGCCGCGUGAGUGAAGAAGGUUUUCGGAUCGGAAAGCUCUGUUGUAAGAGAAGAACGGGUGUGAGAGUGGAAAGUUCACACUGUGACGGUAUCUAACCAGAAAGGGACGGCUAACUACGUG